rnacentral:rRNA from 1 species
UUUCCGGUUGAUCCUGCCGGACCUGACUGCUAUCGGAUUGAUACUAAGCCAUGCGAGUCUUUGCAGUAAUGCAAGGCAUACGGCUCAGUAACACGUAGUCAACUUACCCUAUGGACGAGGAUAAUCUCGGGAAACUGAGCAUAAUACUCGAUAGAUCAUAAUGCCUGGAAUGGUUUAUGGUUGAAAUGAUUCGUCGCCAUAGGAUGGGACUGCGGCCUAUCAGCUUGUUGGUGAGGUAAUGGCCCACCAAGGCGAUUACAGGUACGGGCUCUGAGAGGAGAAGCCCGGAGAUGGGUACUGAGACAAGGACCCAGGCCCUAUGGGGCGCAGCAGGCGAGAAAACUUUGCAAUGUGCGAAAGCACGACAAGGUUAAUCCGAGUGAUUUCUGCUAAAGAAAUCUUUUGCAAGUCAUAAAACCACUAGUGAAUAAGGGGUGGGCAAGUUCUGGUGUCAGCCGCCGCGGUAAAACCAGCACCUCAAGUGGUCAGGAGGAUUAUUGGGCCUAAAGCAUCCGUAGCCGGCUCUGUAAGUUUUCGGUUAAAUCCAUGUGCUCAACGCAUGGGCUGCCGAAAAUACUGCAUAGCUAGGGAGUGGGAGAGGUAGACGGUACUCAGUAGGAAGGGGUAAAAUCCUUUGAUCUAUUGAUGACCACCUGUGGCGAAGGCGGUCUACCAGAACACGUUCGACGGUGAGGGAUGAAAGCUGGGGGAGCAAACCGGAUUAGAUACCCGGGUAGUCCCAGCUGUAAACGAUGCAGACUCGAUGAUGCAUUGGCAUAUAGCCAGUGCAGUGUCGCAGGGAAGCCGUUAAGUCUGCCGCCUGGGAAGUACGUACGCAAGUAUGAAACUUAAAGGAAUUGGCGGGGGAGCACCACAAGGGGUGAAGCCUGCGGUUCAAUUGGAUUCAACGCCGGGA